rnacentral:tRNA from 1 species
GGGCCUGUAGCAUAGUCUGGAUAUCGUGUACGAUUUGGUCACGAUAGUGCACAUAGUGCGUUCGGCUUCGGACCGGAUGACCGGGGUUCAAAUCCUCGCAGGCUCA